CGGCUUCAGGGCAGUCCCUAAGAGCUGGGGGAGCGAGUCGGUGGGCGGUUGUGCUGGGCCGGCUUCCGGCAGGCUGGGCGCAGCCAGGGCCGGGUGGGGAUCACACUUCAGUCAGGAGGAACCACAGGGCCGCGUGGCGCCCGCCUGCCUGAGCCUGGAGUGGGCUAGGAAGUCAGCCGCAGGCAGAGGGCCCAGGACCCACAGAGCCCCCUCGCCCUGGAGCUGGGGUCUGGAGUUUGAGCGGGGAGAGGGAGCCAGGGCCAGGAGGAGCCGGGCCAGCUGGACUGCAUCUGGGGUGAGGAGGCUUCAAGACCUCUCAAGGCUUUGCAGUCUGGGCGCCGUGGCUCAUGCCUGUAAUCCCAGCACUUUGGGAGGCCAAGGCGGGUGGAUGGCCUGAGGUCAGGAGUUCGAGACCAGCCUGACCAACAUGGUGAAAACCCAUUGGUGGCGUGGUGGCCGGGCACCUAUAUUCCCAGCUACUCGGGAGGCUGAGGCAGGAGAAUCGCUUGAAUCCGGGAGGCAGAGGUUGCAGUGAGCCAAGAUCACACCAUUGCACUCCAGCCUGGGCGACAGCGCAAGACUCCAUCUCAAAAAAAAAAAAAAAAAAAAAAAAAAGAAUCCUUUUUUACAUGCUCUUGGAAACAAUUCUCCUAUCUUUAUGCUGAUUCCCUCAUUGU
rnacentral:lncRNA from 10 species